rnacentral:rRNA from 1 species
UACGUAGGGUGCGAGCGUUUAAUCGGAAUUACUGGGCGUAAAGCGUGCGCAGGCGGUUUUGUAAGUUUGUCGUGAAAGCCCCGGGCUCAACCUGGGAAUUGCGAUGAAGACUGCAAGGCUUGAAUCUGGCAGAGGGGGGUAGAAUUCCACGUGUAGCAGUGAAAUGCGUAGAGAUGCGGAGGAACACCGAUGGCGAAGGCAGCCCCCUGGGCUAACACUGACGCUCAGGCACGAAAGCGUGGGGAGCAAACAGG